UACAGAGGGUGCAAACGUUGCUCGGAAUCAUUGGGCGUAAAGCGCACGUAGGCGGCCCAGCAAGUGGGGAGUGAAAGCCCUCGGCUUAACCGAGGAAGUGCUUUCCAAACUACUGGGCUUGAAUACUGGAGAGGGUCGCGGAAUUCCCGGUGUAGAGGUGAAAUUCGUAGAUAUCGGGAGGAACACCAGUGGCGAAGGCGGCGACCUGGACAGAUAUUGA
rnacentral:rRNA from 1 species